rnacentral:misc_RNA from 1 species
UCUCCGUUGGUGAACCAGCGGAGGGAUCAUUACCGAGUUUACAACUCCCAAACCCCCUGUGAACCUAUACCACACACCGUUGCUUCGGCGGGCUCUCCCCUCGCCCCGGGACAGGACUGCCCCGGGAACAGGCGCCCGCCGGGGGACCCAAACUCUUGUAUCUUACCUACGGAAUGUCUGAGUGGAAUCAUUACAGAAUGAAUCAAAACUUUCAACAACGGAUCUCUUGGUUCUG